rnacentral:rRNA from 1 species
AGUGAACGCUGGCGGUAGGCCUAACACAUGCAAGUCGAACGGCAGCACAGUAAGAGCUUGCUCUUACGGGUGGCGAGUGGCGGACGGGUGAGGAAUACAUCGGAAUCUAUUUUUUCGUGGGGGAUAACGUAGGGAAACUUACGCUAAUACCGCAUACGACCUACGGGUGAAAGCAGGGGAUCUUCGGACCUUGCGCGAUUGAAGGAGCCGAUGUCGGAUUAGCUAGUUGGCGGGGUAAAGGCCCACCAAGGCGACGAUCCGUAGCUGGUCUGAGAGGAUGAUCAGCCACACUGGAACUGAGACACGGUCCAGACUCCUACGGGAGGCAGCAGUGGGGAAUAUUGGACAAUGGGCGCAAGCCUGAUCCAGCCAUACCGCGUGGGUGAAGAAGGCCUUCGGGUUGUAAAGCCCUUUUGUUGGGAAAGAAAAGCAGCAGGUUAAUACCCCGCUGUUCUGACGGUACCCAAAGAAUAAGCACCGGCUAACUUCGUG